rnacentral:rRNA from 1 species
UGAUAGGUGAGUUUGGUGAUGGCUCUGAUUGAACGCUGUCCAAAUGCUUGACACAUGCUAAUCGUACGUUUAAUUUAUGCUCUUCGGAUCUCAGUAUCAGGGCGCCAUGAGUGUUGUAGUGGUGUAAUAUCUUAUAUAAGAUAUUGGAGGUUUAUUAAAAGUGGUGUACAGGUGAGUGAAAGAUAAUCGGCCGACCUUGAAGAGAGGGGAUAAAAAAUCCCUCAUAAAUAAAAAAUAGUCGGCUAGCUAUUUGUUUGAGCGCACCUCGUAAGAUACUUCAUAUCCCCCAGAUCCCCCUCCGGGGGAUGAGGGGGAUGAGAGGUGCACUCAAACAGGAUAAAGGGUGUAAUAGCCGCUUUAAGAGGAAAAGAUAUCUGCGGGAUAGGUAGUAGUUAAGGUAAUGGCUCAACUAGCCAAUAAUUCUCGGAGUCGAAGCUGAAAUGGUUGAUCGACCACAUUGGGGAUGAAAAAAUCCCAAGGCGUAUUAGUACAGCAGUGAGGAAUUUUGGUCAAUGGCUAACGGCUGAACUGGCAACUUGGACGAACGGACUAUAAUUCAUAUGAACUAAUAUUCCCGAGUUUGCAUAAUUUUGUAGAUAGUACGGAAUAGUAGAGGAUCCUUUUUAGGAAUAAAGUUCUUAGUAUAUAUUGGAUAAUGACAGAUAUAUAUCUUAUGCCCUGACCAAUUACGUGCCAGCAGUCGCGGUAAUACGUAUGGGACUAGUGUUAUUCAUCUUAAUUAGGUUUAAAGGGUACCUAGACGGCUAAUGUCCACCUCUAAAAGGUAACUAGUUAGCUAGAGUUUUAUAUGAAGGGGCCGAACUUGUGGAGGAGAGUUUAAAUUCUUUGAUACCUAGAGGACGGAUAAAGGCGAAGGCAGCCUCUUAUGUAAAAACUGACGUUGAAGGACGAAGGCAUUGCGGCACGAAAAGGAUUAGGGACCCUAGUAGUCUUUGCAGAAAAUGAUGAAUGCCAUAGGUUAGGUUAAUCCUUAGUCUAUAAACGAAAGUGUAAGCAUUUCACCUCAAGAGUAAUGUGGCAACGCAGGAACUGAAUAUCUGUUUAAUUCGAUGAUCCACGAAAAAUCUUACCACAAUUUGAAUAGAAUAAAGUAAUCAAAAUAUAAGGGUGAACAAAUAUCUCUUCUUUUUUAGUAAAGGUAAUACCUACUAUAAAGUUAAUAUUUAUUCUCAAUUAGUUUUAGGAAGUUUAUUCAUACAAGUGUUGCACGGCUGUUUCCAGUUAAUGUUGUGAAACUGUGGCAAAAGCCAUGGAAUUAACGUAAACCUGAGCUUUAUUUGUAAAAAUAUUUUGAUAGAGCUACAUCAUCUGCUAUAUUGGAUUUGAUAACAGGGACUAAGACAAGUCAUCAUGGCCUUAAUAUUGUGGGCUAUAGACGUGCCACAUAUACCAUAACAAAGAGAUGCGAAAAUUCGAGUUUUAGCUAACCUCAGUGCGCCGUUUAACGUAUCAUACGCCCGUCAGCAACUAUGCAAUCGUAAUACAAAGAUGCAAGAAACUUCUUGGUUACAAUUAGCUAUAGUAAAGGCACUGACCUGAUUGCACAAUUUAUCAGUAAAGCAACUUACUUAUCCUCGGAAUUAAAAGGGUGUCGCCUUAUUUCCUCGAAGAUCUGGUGACAGAGAGGGGAGUGUAGCAUGUAAUGUAAAGUGCGGGGGCAACUCUUGGGUAGUAAAGAAUGUAAAAAUGACAACCCCCGUGCGAGCUAAAGUUUAUAUGGCUGAAGAGAUUGAUGAAGUUGUGGAAAGCUACCACCAGGGAUCCAACUUGAUAGUGAACUGAACAGCAAUUAAGUGAGAUUAAUGUUCAAAUUGCGCUGACAGAACGUAUCAAAAACACUACGCCACGCCCUGCUUUACCAUCUAUCGGUGUCUUGAGGUAACCGGUAGAAAGUUGCUGGUAAAGGACAAUCUUCGCAGAGAAGAACAUUUUCAUCUGGCCUAAGUAGACAUACUGACGUAUGAUCCGGAACUCGGGAGAGUCUCUCUUGACUAAAAUCCAAGUAUUUUUAGUCAGAGAGCUUUCGGAGACUUCAUAGUAGCUUUUCCAGGAAGGUAAAGGGAGUCAGCCUCAGACACGCCUAAAAAAUCAUCAAGCAUAGUACGUAGCAUAGCAAAGUAAAAGACUGUUUAGCACGAAUAGUAUAGAAGGGAAAAAGAAACUGAAUCGGUAUGAGGAACAUAGCCCUAGUGCGGGUUCCAACUAUGUCCUCAUAAUCAAGGGCCGCCCAAACCAAGCGAAAACUAUCGUAUAUUUAUCUUUUUGAUCAAAUAAUUUUAUCCUUUAGGCAAAUUCCUUAGUAUUGGUUAACAAUACUCGGGUAAGGAAUGAGAAACCCACGUCAAUAUAUGGCAGGAUAACAAGGCAGCAGGCAAAAAUUCCAAGCAGGAGUAGCCGUCUGUCCCAUAGGCCAAUUGAUUUCUUAAGAAUUAUUAAAAUUAUUUGGUUCAAAAAGAAAUCAAGGGGCAGAGCCUUCGGAGGAAUGCACAUAAAAUACGCGAGAGAUCGGACGCGCUGAUCAACCCCUGGGGUUGAACUAAUUGAAGAUUGAGUAAAAGAUCAAGAAUGCAGGGUUUUUCUACCUGAGCACAAAGAGCAACUAGCAUUCAUAACCACCAAAAAGGUCUGUAGACUAGGGUGAAUGGAAGACUGUAAACUCUCUUCACAACGAGUGGACCAGGAUUACCAGAUCACCGACAAAAAGACAGCUCAGAGAAUCAUAACGACGUAAAAGUAAAGGAUCGGGGGAGUAUCACAUUUGAGGUACCAAAUUCUCGUAGGCAAUCAGUCGAAGUUUUUUAAAAAGGAGGUUGUUGAGCUGAAUGUAGCUAUAAAAUUGAUCCCAAUAAACUAAGUCCUUCACAGAAGAUCAAAUAGUAACUCAAUUCUUACCCUACCCGUCUCGUAUAGGAGUCUGAGGGGGAGAGCCGUAUGCAUUGAAAGGUGCAAGUACGGUUCGGAGGGGGGGAUACUGACCUUCGUAAGGGAAAACCACAAAUAAGGCAUCUUCGAAGAUAUUAACCGGAUCCCUACCCUACAAAAAAUGGAUAAAAAAUAUAUGGAUUGUAGCCUGAAACUCGGCUGCUUGAAUAAGAAAUUGCUAGUAAUCGUGAAUCACCAUGUCACGGUGAAUAUAACCUUGGAUUGGUACUAACCACUCGUCACAUGCUGAAAGUUGUAUGCGCAAUAAGUUUGCUUUCUUAUUUUAAGUCCAUGUAAGAACGGAUUACAUUCUUUUAAUAGGGUUCUUCGUAUGCGUGACGGCAAUUGGUGUUAAGUCGAAAUACGGUUCGUGUAGUGGAAGUUGCACGGGGCUAAUUAACUUUAACAUAAAAUAGGUCCGUAUGUGUGUCCUGCUCUGCUCUUUAGAGUUCACAUACGCAUUAUUUAUAGCUAAAACUAUAAGUAUUGUCAAAGACAAGGGACCGGCC